AAGUUUGAUGGCGACCGGCGCACGGGUGAGUAACACGUAUCCAACCUGCCGAUGACUCGGGGAUAGCCUUCCGAAAGAAAGAUUAAUACCCGAUGGCAUAGUUCUUCCGCAUGGUAGAACUAUUAAAGAAUUUCGGUCAUCGAUGGGGAUGCGUUCCAUUAGGUUGUUGGCGGGGUAACGGCCCACCAAGCCUUCGAUGGAUAGGGGUUCUGAGAGGAAGGUCCCCCACAUUGGAACUGAGACACGGUCCAAACUCCUACGGGAGGCAGCAUG
rnacentral:rRNA from 1 species